rnacentral:ncRNA from 1 species
CUUUUAUAUCUUUGUGAUACUAGAGUCAAAUACCAUGUUUCGGCCAAUUUGGUAAUUACCAUAUCUUUAAGAGCAGGUUGCACCCAAAGCCAUUAGGCCAAGGGCAAUGCCGCGUGGAGGUAGAAGGCCCACGGGUCGUGAACUUCUUUUCCCGGAAAAGAAGCAAUGACGGUAUCUGGGGAAUAAGCAUCGGCUAACUCUGUGCCAGCAGCCGCGGUAAUACAGAGGAUGCAAGCGUUAUCCGGAAUGAUUGGGCGUAAAGCGAGCUAACCUCCCCUACCACGUUUCUA